rnacentral:misc_RNA from 1 species
GAAAUGCGAUAAGUAAUAUGAAUUGCAGAUUUUCGUGAAUCAUCGAAUCUUUGAACGCACAUUGCGCCCUAUGGUAUUCCAUAGGGCAUGCCUGUUUGAGCGUCAUUUCUCUCUCAAAUCUUCGGAUUUGGUUUUGAGUGAUACUCUUAGUCAGACUAAGCGUUUGCUUGAAAUGUAUUGGCAUGAGUGGUACUAGAUAGUGCUGAACUGUUUCAAUGUAUUAGGUUUAUCCAACUCGUUGACCAGUAUAGUAUUUGUUUAUUACACAGGCUCGGCCUUACAACAACAAACAAAGUUUGACCUCAAAUCAGGUAGGACUACCCGCUGAACUUAA